CUUUAGUUUAGUGUUGAAUUAAAAACAAAAUUUUCCGGCGACUGUGAAAUGGCAUGUAACAAUUGGCUGCGGAAGUAUUCAACGGAGACCAAAACAGAUUGGAUUGUUAAUCGUACAUAUCCAAAAGUCACCAAAAUCGCCUUCCGCAAAGAUUUUGUUUGUCAUCGUUCUAAAAGAAACAAAACUCUUGAUAGCAGCCGUUUACGCAAUAGAAAUUUUAAUUUUUUGCAAGCUUGGUAAUUCGAGUUAGAAAAAAACACCGUUGAUACCAGGAAGAGAGACACAUUUAUGAAGGAAGUGGUAACAGAAAAACACAUUUUUGUAAAAAAACUUUUAUAUAACAAGAUUUUAUGAAAUACAAAAUGUAAUACCUAUUAUUGUUUUAUAAUUAAUAAAAUUUUUAUUUAUUCUUUUGAUAAA